GGGCGGUUAGCUCAGUUGGUACGAGCGCGUCAUUGACAUUGACGAGGUCAUAGGUUCGAUCCCUAUACCGCCCA
rnacentral:tRNA from 1 species